GGGGCUGACAGGUUUCGACAGCAGAGUCGUUGUUCGAGUGUGCGACCCGAGUUGCUCAGACUCGCUAAACGGGGCAACCAAAAGAAUUGCCAACGAGCAGUUCGCUCUCGCGGCCUAAUCCGUCGUAGAGAGACAUCGUGACCAGCAAUGGCGCACGGGGCCGAUCCACCGCAGCCCGGCAACAGAAGCGGGGGAUGACAACGGGAAAGAUCGUUGGCGCCGGGGAAGACCGGUGACAUGGCGGAAAGACGCCACGCGACCCCGCAAGGGGUGGUCGACCCGCCGAUGACGUUGCGUCAGCGUCGAAGCUGGGAAUGGUCGUAGCACGUUCGUUCCGCGCCUGAUGGACGGGGGUUCGAUUCCCCCCAGCUCCACCA
rnacentral:tmRNA from 1 species